UUGCCGACACGUGGACGUGCAGUUUAUAAUCAGGUACGGCUUGAUUUGUCACUGCAUCGUGUUUACUUGCGCAUUUUUUCAUGCAAGAAAAUCCCUGAAAACAUGUCUGCUGAGAUUACAGAGGGGAUUUAUUUACAAUUUUUAUUAAAUUAAUUGUUCAUUUGAGUGGUGUGCAUUGAACAGGAUGCGCUUUCAUGUCUCAUUUGUGGAAUUUUAGCCUUGUUCUUGAAACUAAUGACACUUUUGAAAAGCUAUAGGGUUUUGUUGUCUACUGUGGCUGAUACAGUCUGUGUACUCAGGGUGUGAUAAAGUUCAUGAUAAUGUGGUUAAGAUGUACUUUUUCUGCACACUUUUAGAAAGAGUACUGUCGCCAAAGAUGAGAAGAAGAAAAACGUCCAGCAGAUAAUCCAAAAGAGGAGUUGCUUUCAGCUAAAGAUCCAUGUCACACUGCCCAGCAUUGAGUGUACGGUGGAGUGAGAUCCUACCUGCAGGAGCCUGAUGCUGCUUGCUACAAGGACAGGUGCCCCCACAUCUCAGCAACCUGCAAGACAAUAUUUGACUUAACUGUCCACUCAAAGACAGGGGGUUUCCAUCUGUCUGACCAUGCAGGACAUGUUUUCACUUGGUAGAGAUCCUCUCUGGGAUUUUAGGAAUGUUGAGACGUGCUGGUUAUGAAGCUCUAAGUACAAAAUGGUCACGGAUGGCUGGAAUGAGGCAUGUUCUAAUGGAAACAAAUCACUUGUCACUGGUAAAAUGUGGUUUGAUUGUGCACUGACUACCACAGGCAAUGCUUAUUCUGAGGUCUGAUACCUGCUCACAGGUCUGAUAUCUGGCGGUAAGUGGUGGCAUUGUUUGCCUUCCAUUUUUGCAUUCCAAUUCCACUGGCCUUUGCCUAGGUGUCCUUCAGCCCACUCUCCCACUCUGAUUCUUCCUGAACAUGCUGCUGAGAAGCAAAGUGUGCUGCAGCCACUUGGGCAGAGAGAAAGGCUCCUUUUGGGCACACAGAUGCAUCAGACUUCCUCUUAGGUUUCAGUAUAAAUUAAAAUGACCUCUCUGCCAAUUGACUGUAAUGACUUCCACAGUCUUCACCACUGUAUUGAAACCAAGGCUUCCCACAUAUUUCUUCCCACAAGAGUUGUCCAAGGGAGCUACACCAGCAAUCUGUGCCCUCCAGCUGCAGGUAGAAGAGCAUGUCUGACUAACUUCUUUAGUGUGGACAUGGUAAUUGACACACAAUGAUUUUAAUGAUAAGACUGGGUGUAGUCCAUGUCCAUUCUCAGCUUUGCGCAUUUCCAUCUUCAAAGUUUUAAAAUAUAUCAUGAAUAGCAGUGGAUUCCAAGGAAUUCUAGUUAUAAAUCCACUAAAUAUUGUUAGUUCCAUUGGCUUUGGUCAGCUCCUCCUUGUCUCCAGGAGUGAGGGCUGUGCACCAUGCUUGAACACUAAUUAUCCUCAGUAGGCAAAUGGCUGGAAAUGACAUUUUAAACAGGGGAAGUCUCCCAACACGAAUUGAUAUAGUGAGGAGCUCAACAGCAGGGAGAGGGAAUAUUUGUCAUAUGCUAUCCUGUCUUCCUAAACACAACUUCACAUUGAUGUAAAAAUAGUGAAAAAUUUUACCCAACAAUGAACAGGGACUCUAACUAAUCCCCCUUCUUCAUUCUUUAGAAGAUAGAAUAUCUCUCUAGUAUGCCCAAUGAUUGCAUACUGAAGAGGAUGCUAUUUCCCUUCAAUGGGCAUAGAAGUUUCUUUCCUCCUAAUCCUUACAUGGUUUGGAUACAUCCUUUUUCAUACAUUUGCCUUUUUGCAUUGCUAGAUGAUUAUUUUUUUAAUUGCUGAUGAGUGUGUGAACUUGUUGUUUUCUAUAUGCCGUGUUAAUUCUGUGAUAUUUACGCAUGGCUAAAUGGAAAGUGUCUUGGCUGAAGAUCUUUUUCGGUGUUGUUUUUUGUUGGUUUUUUUUUGUUUGUUUGUUUGUUUGUUUGUUUUCUGGUAAGAAGACAGUUAUUUUGGGUUUCUUGGUGCGUUUUGGAGAUGUGUGCCUUAAAGUUACUUCUAAAACCUUGAAACAGGAAAGGAUAGCACAAUUUAAAGCAUGUGUUGCCAUGCAUUUGCUACCCUCUUGCUUACAGCUUGCAGCAGGUGAAAAAGGAAUAAUGGGUGACUAAGAAUGCAAUAAAGGAAAGAAGU